UGAAAAACAAAAAGGGAAGAGAGAGAGGUGUGGGUAGACUUCUGCACGUUGGGUUUUACCCUCCUACCAUCAGCAGGAACACUGUAUUUGGAUUUCUCAUCACCAUCUCUCUGCUCCAUUUCUUCAAUCAGUGAAGCUUGGUUGAUUUCAUGGACUCUUGUUUAAGUAGCUGCUUUUGAAAUAGCUGAUCCAAGAGCCACUCAUCUCUUAUCAACUGAAAAUUGAACCGAUUAUUGGAGAAAGUUGAGUGUUGGCUUUGGGUGGGUUCUUGCCCCUUUUUUGGUCUUUAAUCUGAAAUGCUUAUUAGAGCUCCUUAUCUAAGCAAAAUUUAGUUUUAGGAACUAAAUUUGUUGAUAUCAUUGUUGAUAAAAUAGAGUUAUUUAUCUAUUUGGGUGGUUAAUUUCUCAAUUCAAGUAGUAUUUGGUUUGCAUA